rnacentral:rRNA from 1 species
CCUACGGGAGGCAGCAGUGGGGAAUUUUGGACAAUGGGCGCAAGCCUGAUCCAGCAAUGCCGCGUGAGUGAAGAAGGCCUUCGGGUUGUAAAGCUCUUUUGUCAGGGAAGAAACGGUGGGGGCUAAUAUCCCUCGCUAAUGACGGUACCUGAAGAAUAAGCACCGGCUAACUACGUGCCAGCAGCCGCGGUAAUACGUAGGGUGCAAGCGUUAAUCGGAAUUACUGGGCGUAAAGCGUGCGCAGGCGGUUUUGUAAGUCUGUCGUGAAAGCCCCGGGCUCAACCUGGGAAUUGCGAUGGAGACUGCAAGGCUUGAAUCUGGCAGAGGGGGGUAGAAUUCCACGUGUAGCAGUGAAAUGCGUAGAGAUGUGGAGGAACACCGAUGGCGAAGGCAGCCCCCUGGGUCAAGAUUGACGCUCAUGCACGAAAGCGUGGGGAGCAAACAGGAUUAGAUACCCUGGUAGUCCACGCCCUAAACGAUGUCUACUAGUUGUCGGGUUUUAAUUAACUUGGUAACGCAGCUAACGCGUGAAGUAGACCGCCUGGGGGAGGUACGGUCGCGAAGUAGUAAACGUUACGAAAGUAAGUUAGUUACGGCGUUGAGACGNGCCGACGGACGACGACGAGGGAGGAGG